AGAAAGCAGAAAAACCAGCUUUGAACUCUGCGUGCAAGGCCUCCUGAGCCACAGGCCCUUUAAUGUAGAAAUCUACUCUCAGGAGAAAGACUACUUCCAAACUGGAGCACUGUCAGCUGUUGGCGAGAUGAUUUCUCUACAAAAAGGAUGUUACCGCUAGGUCCAAAGGGAAGCAAAUAUGAAAAUAGAAGGGAUCUCUGGCAGAACUGAAAGAUGCUUCACCUCAUAGAAAAAUAAACAUUUCUCGCAAAACUAAGAGGGGCAUGCUUCCGAACCAC